rnacentral:rRNA from 1 species
UACGUAGGUGGCAAGCGUUGUCCGGAAUCACUGGGCGUAAAGCGCGCGCAGGCGGCGAUCUACGUCUGGGGUGAAAGCCCGGAGCUCAACUCCGGGACUGCCUUGGAUACGGGAUCGCUUGAGGAUUGGAGAGGCAAGGGGAAUUCCACGUGUAGCGGUGAAAUGCGUAGAUAUGUGGAGGAACACCGGUGGCGAAGGCGGCCUUCUGGACGGAUACUGACGCUGAUACGCGAAAGCGUGGGGAGCAAACGGG